GACGAACGCUGGCGGCGUGCUUAACACAUGCAAGUCGAACGGUAAGGCCCCAGCUUGCUGGGGUACACGAGUGGCGAACGGGUGAGUAACACGUGGGUGACCUGCCCCGCACUUCGGGAUAAGCCUGGGAAACUGGGUCUAAUACCGGAUAGGACCGCACCGUGAGGGUGUGGUGGAAAGUUUUUCGGUGUGGGAUGGGCCCGCGGCCUAUCUGCUCGUUGGUGGGGUAAUGGCCUACCAAGGCGGCGACGGGUAGCCGGCCUGAGAGGGUGGACAGCCACAUUAGGACUGAGAGAGGCACCAGACUCCAACGGGAGGCAGUAGUGGAGAGUAUGGCACAAUGGGGGGAAGCCUGAUACAGCGACGCCGCGUGGGGGAUGACGGCCUUCGGGGUGUGAACUCCUUUGACCAUCGACGAAGGUUUUCUGACGGUAGAUGAUGAAGAAGCACCGGCUAACUACGUG
rnacentral:rRNA from 1 species